UACAGAGGGUGCAAACGUUGCUCGGAAUUAUUGGGCGUAAAGAGCUCGUAGGCGGUUUGUUGCGUCGGCUGUGAAAUCCCGAGGCUCAACCUCGGGUCUGCAGUCGAUACGAGCAAACUAGAGUGUUGCAGGGGAGACUGGAAUUCCUGGUGUAGCGGUGAAAUGCGCAGAUAUCAGGAGGAACACCGGGUGGCGAAGGCGGGUCUCUGGG
rnacentral:rRNA from 1 species